ensembl:snRNA U6 U6 spliceosomal RNA
UUUGCCUGUUUACAAACUUUAUAUAAACGGAAUCAUGCAUACAGAGAAGAGUAGCAUGGUCCCUGCGCAAGAAUGACAUGCACAUUUAUGAAACAUUCAUUAAAAAG